UGGUUGUUGCUAAUUGUGAGAGCCUGAUAUUCUGCUUGAGAGAGCAAAUGCUGGUCUUGGAACAGAGACCAACACCAACAGGCCUAGCAAAACAUUUAUAUGAAAAAGAGAGCUAGUAACGAAAAUUAUCAUUUGAUACCAAAUAAGCGCACAACUUCAUUCUAAGAGAACAUAUGAAGUUAAUGCAAGACUCCAGACUAAGCUUUUCGGCUUCACAUCCAGUUAGAGCUAGUUUCAAGAUCGCAAG
rnacentral:misc_RNA from 1 species